GCGCGGGCCCGGGGGCGGCGCCUCAGAUGCGCUCUUUCCAGAAAGGCAGCACACGCAUGUCUCUGCCGUGGCCCCAGAUCCUCCCCGCGCCGCCGUUUUGAGCGUUCACACUCAUUACCCAGGUCCGUCUGGGAGACCCGCCGGGCUCCCGCCCUCCCGGCCCGCAGCCUCCUGGCCAAAAUCCUCCCGGGACACCCCACCUGGACUGCUGCGAACGGGCCUCCACCCGCCUCCCCGGACCCGCAGCGCCCCCCGCUCCCUCAGGGUUCUGGGGUGAAGGGGUCUGAAUAGCACCAGGGGAGGCGGCAGGGCGGGCCUGUCCUACCUGCGCCCGAGCACUGCUGAGACGACAUCCCUUCCAGCGCCGCCACGUAGUCCAGCCCCAGCCAGCCGCGGUAGGUGGUUUUCUCUCCGACAGGCACCGCCCGGACGGUGGCAUCCUUGAAAAGCAGGUCUUGGCCAUGAUAGUUGGAGGAGUCGAACAUUUUGAACCCGUUCUUAUUGUGGUCGUCUCCAAACAGGUCCUGGAAGCACCGCAGGCAGACGACCUGCUCCUCACUGGGCUCAGGCAGGGUCACCCGCCCAGUGCCGCUAGCUGCAAAUUGCUUUACAUACAGUGACCCAAAGAGCAAGUCAUUUCAGGGCCCCACCACUCUGAUUGGAAGUCAUAAGCUUGACAACUGAUUGGCCUCUGUCACCCAAGCGGGUGUGGGGACACUAGGCCCGCAGGUGCCACUGGAAGAGGCGUUCAGAAGCACUGCGGUGCUCCAGCUCCUGGAUGCAGAUAUCUCCCCACAAACCUAAACAAUUUCGAGAGGGACUUGUGUUCUGCAACCAGUCACAGAAUAUCAGGUGAGCUGGGCGUGUCUUCACUGACCCACCCGCCCAGGGAUGCUGCACUCCUCUCCACCCUGCUCAGAAUCACUAGAAUGACCGUUCUGUGGCUA
rnacentral:lncRNA from 1 species